CAAAAAAGAAGUUAUUCUAAAGAAAUAUGUAUUCUACAACAGGCUGUUAACUUAUUUUGCUUACGUGGAGGCUUUGAGCUACCUUUAUCAGACAUUGUAAAGAAACAUGAUAGAGCUGCGUGUCAGGAUAUUCUUAUAAAUAUUGCCUGCUCUCGUUGUAUACUGAAAAAUAUGGAGCACAAAUAUUUUUUUCAGGUCACAGAACUUCUUAAGCAAAUUUACGGUCGCUGUGAGGAAUCUAAAAAAUUUCUUGAGCCGAAUAAGUUUU